GACGAACGCUGGCGGCGUGCUUAACACAUGCAAGUCGAACGGUAAGGCCCUUCGGGGUACACGAGUGGCGAACGGGUGAGUAACACGUGGGUGAUCUGCCCUGCACUUCGGGAUAAGCCUGGGAAACUGGGUCUAAUACCGGAUAGGACCACUGCCUGCAUGGGUGGUGGUGGAAAGCUUUUGCGGGGUGGGAUGGGCCCGCGGCCUAUCAGCUUGUGGGUGGGGUGAUGGCCUACCAAGGCGACGACGGGUAGCCGGCCUGGGAGGGUGAUCGGCCACACUGGGACUGGGAUACGGACCAGACUCCUACGGGAGGCACCAGUGGGGAAUAUUGCACAAUGGACGAAAGUCUGACUCAGCGACGCCGCGUGAGGGAUGAAGGCCUUCGGGUUGUAAACCUCUUUCAGUAGGGAAGAAGCGAAAGUGACGGUACCUACAGAAGAAGCACCGGCUAACUAUGUGCCAGCCGCCGCAGUAA
rnacentral:rRNA from 1 species